CAUUUUUGGCGAGCCCUUUUCAAAUGCCGACCCUCCAGACGUGACACGGGGCACCCAACAUGCCAGGACAGCCGGACCUGGGGCUCCCCAACCCACGCCACACCUGGGGCACAGCGGCCUGGGGCGCUGAGGGGUCGCCAGCAGGACCUGCUGGCAGAUUAGACAACUUUCCAGCAACAUCUGUAAAGCUCACGAGAAGUAAAAAAUACCACAUUUGUAGGAGGAAAGGGGAAGUGAUGUCUUGCAAAUACACAGAUCUCCCUUUGAAGGUUGGAGACCAGGCUGCCUGCAGCAAUGGAGUUCCCUGCUUCCCAAUCUGAGCAAGGGCAGAAGAAAGGAGGAGGGGAAAAAAAAUCCUUCUAGGAAACAUGUUUCACAAUCCUCUGCGGCGAGCGGCACAAGCUUCCCCGAGAGGAUCUGCGAGGGUGGAGAGCAGCCAGUCGUCCAAAUGCGAGGAGGAGGCCGGGUGCCAGGAGACAGGGAGGCCAGAGGAAUGCCUGGAGGCAGCCUGGCCAUAUGCUUGCGGUAAAAACCUCCAGGUCAGGAUCAGGCUCGUGUCCAGGAACAGCGAACUUCAGAAGGUGGUACUUGUUAUUGCCCGACCGAUGGCCUCCGGCUCCUGCAAACGUCGCUGUCGGGAUAACGUUCUGCCUUAGGCUUGUUGUUGCAGUAGGAAAUGAGGGGGGGAAAAGAGAUUUUUGAAAUUAAUAGGGCCCAGAUCGAGCGGCAAUCAGCGCUUGGAUUUUCUGUUUUUGCAAAGAAACCAUUCAGAAGUCCGUAUAUUUGGUACAGCAAAGUGUAUGCUGCAACUGUAUUGUACCCUUGCAGAUACUUCUGAGAGACUGCAGAGUUUCACACUUCAGAUUGAAUCUGUUUACACAGAUAUACAAAAUGCAACAGGAGCAAGUUAUCAGAGCGCUACUAAAAAAGUAUAUCCCUACCUUAAAAUCUGUAUGACCAAAACUCACAAAAAAAAAAUAA